rnacentral:rRNA from 1 species
CCUACGGGAGGCAGCAGUGGGGAAUAUUGCUCAAUGGGGGAAACCCUGAUGCAGCGACGCCGCGUGAGGGAAGAAGGUUUUCGGAAUGUAAAGCUCUGUUGGUAGAGAAGAAAAUGACGGUACCUGACCAAGAAGCACCGGCUAACUACGUGCCAGCAGCCGCGGUAAUACGUAGGGGGCAAGCGUUAUCCGGAAUCACUGGGUGUAAAGGGAGCGUAGACGGGAGGGCAAGUCUGAUGUGAAAUGCCAGGGCUCAACCCCCGGACUGCUUUUGAAACUGCAAGGCUGGAGUGGCGGAGAGGUAAGUGGAAUUCCUAGUGUAGCGGUGAAAUGCGUAGAGAUCAGGAGGAACACCAGUGGCGAAGGCGGCUUACUGGACGGUAACUGACGCUGAGGCUCGAAAGCGUGGGGAGCAAACAGGAUUAGAUACCCGGGUAGUC